rnacentral:sRNA from 1 species
GCUGGGUGCAGUGGCACAUACCUGUAAUCCCAGCAGCUCGGGAGGCUGGGGCAGGAGGAUCGUGAGUUCAAAGCCAGCCUCAGCAACAGUGAGGCACUAAGCAACUCAGUGAGAACCUGUCUCUA